UACAGAGGGUGCGAGCGUUAAUCGGAAUUACUGGGCGUAAAGCGUGCGUAGACGGCUAUCUAAGUCGGGUGUGAAAGCCCCGGGCUCAACCUGGGAAUUGCAUUCGAGACUGAAUAGCUAGGGUGCGGUAGAGGGAAGCGGAAUUUCCGGUGGAGCGGUGAAAUGCGUAGAUAUCGGAAGGAACAUCAGUGGCGAAAGCGGCUUCCUGGACCAGCACCGACGUUCAGGCACGAAAGCGUGGGGAGCAAACAGG
rnacentral:rRNA from 1 species